CUGUUGGUAAAUGCAUUUAUUGAUCCUAGAGCUGACCCUCUCCAGCCUUUGGUAAGACGAGCCUGGGGUUCCCAAGAGUGGGCACACAGCACUGGCCCGAAGCGUCUGAGCCUUCCCAGCCCACACAGGUGAAGUUGGGGGUUUUAGCCUUCAAGGAACUUCAGCCGGGGUUCUCCAACAAAUGUCCCCACAGUAGGACCAGCAGCAGGUGAACUCCGCAUGAAAGCAUUUAUAAUUCCGUGUACAUUUCCGCAGACAGUCACGAAUCGUCGGCUCUCCCCAGCAUUCCUGAAUCAACC